rnacentral:rRNA from 1 species
AUGGCGGCGCGCGGGCAGGGGCUUGAGCAAGAUUUUGAUUUCUUCGUGGUGGUCGACUUCGAGGCAACGUGCGUCAAAGACGCGCGGAUCUUCCCCUAGGAAAUCAUUGAGUUCCCCGCCGUGCUCGUCGACAGCGCCACCGGCCGCAUCGAGUCCGCGUUUCGCAGGUACGUUCGUCCAAAACAUCACCCUGUGCUGACCCAGUUUUGCAGGGAACUCACCGGCAUCCGGCAGGAGGACGUCGACGGCAACGUGGAUCUCGGCGAGGCGCUCUGGUUCCACGACGCUUGGCUGAAGGCGGCGACGGCGGGGGCAGGGAAGAAGAGACGCGUCCGCUUGGCCAUCGUGACCUGGGGUGACUGGGAUUGACGGACCAUGCUGGAGUUCGAGUGCCGCUUCGAGGGCAUCGAGAAGCCCUCCUACUUCGAUCAGUGGAUCAAUCUGAGAGUCCCCUUCUAGGAGGCGCUCGGCGGCGGAGGGAGGGUCAACCUACAGGAGGCGAUCCGGGCGGCGGGGUUGGACUGGGAGGGCCGCCUGCACUGUGGACUCGACGAUGCGUGCAACACGGCGCGGCUGCUUGCUGAGAUCAUGCGGCGCGGGGUCAAGACGACCAUCACCGGCUCGCUGGCGCCGCCGCCGCCGAUCCAGCAGCAGCAGCCGCAGAUAAGCCCCUGUGGUGGCACAUUUGCGCUGGCGCCGGCGCCGAUUCAGCAGAAGCAGCAGUCGCCGCAGCCUCACAUAAUAGGCCCCUGCGGUGGGCCGAUGCAGUCUGGAUGCGCCAACUGGACGCCGGCCAUGGGAGCCGUGUGCCCCUAAUUCCUGUGGACCAACUGA